rnacentral:rRNA from 1 species
GUCUACGGCCAUACCAUCCUGAACAAGCCCCAUCCUGUCUCAUCUCAGAAGCUAAGCAGGGUGGGACCUGUUUAGUACUUGGAUGGGAGACCACCUAGGUGCUGUAGGCAUAAAAAAUA